CCGCCCGCCUGCCUCUGCGGGGCGGCGCAGGACUCGGGCUCUGGCCGCGCGUGGAGGCGGUGUAAGGAUUAAAGGACGAGUUGAGAGAGAGGUUUGCGUAGGCCGCGCGACGGACACGCUCCCAGCCCGAGCCCCGGAGCGGGCGCAGGCUUGGGAGAGGAGCGCGGGCCGUGCCUCCCGUGGUUCACCCGGCACGGCUGUGAGCCCCGAAAACCUGGGAGCGGACUUACCUCUGUGCGGGCUCGCCUCGGCCGCACCCCCCGCCACACACACACACCCCCGCGCGGACGGGGCGUGCUCAUGGGGCCUACGUGGACGUCUUGAUUGCCUUAAAAGAGCUGAGAUCAAGCCAAGAUUAACUAUAAAGGUAGUGAAACUCCAAGGAAGAUUAAUUCUCAACCCCAGCAAGGUCAGAGCCAGGGUUAAGAAGGUGGAACCCUGGGACAAGAUGAAGACAUCUGGUUGAAGCAUUUGGGAACUUGAGAACUCCAUGUCCUCCUGAACUUUUGAGUCUUCGGAAGUAGUCUCUCCUUCUUAUUAAAAGCAAGGACACACCCUCUUCUCCUGCUCAAAGAAGAGGGUGUCUGUUUUUCAAGAGCAUGCACACCUCCUCAGGAUCUACCCCCACCCCUUCUACAAAUCGCCAGACCUAUAGCUAGGGUCACAUUACAACAUAACUGAGCCAGAAGAGUGCUAAUCUGACUGAGGGAGGAAAGGGACUUUAAGACUUAGCCAACAUUUACCAACAAGAGCUAGGAUAAAGUCACCACGAUCCUGGCCUAUAGAGAGAUGCAGAGAUAAGACAGCAGAACAUGGAAUUCCCAGUAACAACAGAGGUGGGCAGUCAGCCAGGGUUUUUCUCUAUCUACACAUUUAAAAGAAAGCCAAGAGAGAUGAAUGGAAUUCCAAGGACAGCCUCUCCAAUAAAACUCAAAGUCUGUCUCUGUCAGCUCAGGCCUCCCUAACAAAUACCAUUGACUGGGUGGCUUAGCAAAACAGAAAUUUAUCUCUCGCAGUUCUGGAGGUUGGGAAACCCAAGGUCAGGUGCCAGCAUGGCAGAUUUCAUUCUGAGGCCUCUUCUCUUGGCUUGUUCAUGGCUGCAAUUUCACUGGGCUCACAUGACCUCUCCUUUGUGCACAUGUGGGCAGAGAGAGGGAGCAAGCUCUCUGCGUCUCUUCACAUAACACCAUUAAUCCCAUCAUGAGAGCCCUGCCUUCAUGACCUCAUCUGAUAGUAAUCACCUCCCAAAGGACGCAUCUCUAAAUAUCCUCACUUUGGGGGUUAAGGGUUCAACAUAUGUAUUGGGCAAAGAUACACUCAGAUCAUAACAUAAUGCUUUGCCCCACUUUUGGACUGCAGCCAAUUUGGUAAUCUGAAGCCCAUUGACUGGAGGAGAGGCUGGGUUCCAGCAGGAUGGACCCUGCAGCCCUAGGAUGAUUUCCCAGCCCUAGGGGAGCAUUUCCUUGGGUGCUCUAUCUUAUCCCCAGAAGUAGUGACUGUUCCUCAUAUUUGCUAUUCUUGUGUUCUUUAAAGUGAUCUUUAUUUUUUACUACCCAAUCCCUUAUUACUCCAUUGCCCUGUUAGAGUUAAUACUUCUUUAUAUUAAACUCUCUGUAUUCGACUUAA